CUGUCCCGGCCGGGCUUAGCUCCACAUGCUAAUCUUCUCACCUUUUCUCCCUCCCGUCGUCUCAUGCAUGAUCGAGCCCGAUCGAGGUGUCGUUUCUGCAUGGCUCGGCAAGAUCUGCUUGCUGAUGCUGCUGACCGGCCGGCCGGCCGUCCGGCCACCUUGCUCAAGCGACGAGAGCCCACAACCAACGACGAUUGGCCCACGUUUUAACCUAGCUAUAUCUACGCGCUGUUGCACUGCAAGAUCAGUGUUGACCCUUGGUCUAAUUCCACGACGGAGAGUCGGCGUGGCGUAAAGUGAAGAUUGGGGGGAAUAGAGCGAAAUCCCCGUCUGGGGUAUUCCGAAGGUGUAACCUAGGCAACGAAAAAGAUCGAGCGAAUUGGCCGUGGCACAGCUAGCUGUUCGCUCCAGUAGUAGCGAGUGGCCAGCGUCCCC
rnacentral:lncRNA from 1 species